CGUCUGGGAGAGAGAGAAUACACGAUGGGCACAGGUGAACAAAACCGUGUCUUCACGUCCUUCCUGGUCUCCGAAGACAGGUAAGGGCCCAACUUACUCAUCCGCUCACUCCCUCGUUCACACACCCACCCACUCAACAUCUGGAGAACAGCCAUCUUUCCGAGAGCUGUAAAGAGCCUGGGAAUCCACGUGAAGAGACCUAGUCCUCGCACAUGCUAGUCGGGACAGACACGUAAAGCCACAGUGAUGGAGGAGUGAUGACUGCUAUGAUGGAGUAUGUACCGGGCACAGCAGGAACGUGGAGGAAGGGCUAUGUAAGGUGCCCCUGGAAGUCAAGGGCAGUUUCACAGAGGAAGAAAAUGACUUGUGUAAGAUGGUGCUGGUAGCAGAAGAGAGGAGGAGGCAGAAAAGGGAGAGGGUGACCAGGGCGUCCAGCUCACGCUUACGUGUGAUGUUGGUUGUCAGAUGGUGGGGGCUGAGGGCUGGAUGGAGGUCUAGGAUGAGGGGUGGGGGGAUGGAGGAGUGGCAGGAGAUGUGCCGAAGAGCUGGCAGCAGGACAUGCAGGUGGGCCUGUCCAGCUUACACCCCUUUGGCAGCAUCUCUGUGUCACCGAGUCCCUGUUGAAAGACUGGGCAUGAGGUGGCUAUGACUCUGAGCCCUGGUCACAGCUGAGCAGACCAGGGGUAUGCAUCUGACCCACAAUGAUCCAGCUUCUCAGCCUCACGAGUCUGAUUCGGGGUACGCACCAUCGUUAGAGGUUGUGGGCACGGGGAACUGAAAGAUCCUGUGAAAGUGGGUGAAUGCUGAGGCUACGGAGGGUAGGCCGUGUCUACAUUAUGGAGAGUUGGUGAAACCAGGCUAUGACAUGGAGGAGGUGCAUGUCAGAGACAGAGGCUAGGAGUGAAACAGACUGCAGAGGGAGCUGAUGGCCGCCCAGCUCCUUUUCGGUUGUCUGCGUGCACAUGGGACUAUAGGAGAGUCCCCACCCCAGAAUGAGGCCAUAAGGGUCUUGUGUGCUAUGAACAGGGGCUUGGACUUGGUAAUUGGGGCAUUAUAAGCAGAGUAAUCAGAUCUGAUUUUAGAAUGGUUUCUCUGGCAGUUGACCUAAAAGAGGACACGGCUCGUGGCAGGAGGACCCCAGUAGUGGUCCAUGCUGGGGAUUGUCUGCAAGGGCUUACCCAGUGAGCAGAGAGAAGCAUGGGUUAGCCACUGUCGUAGGUAGAAGCAGCUGUGUUCAGUGACCACGAAAUGAAGGCCGGGGGAGGGAUGCAGGAGGCCUCCCUGGUUUUACUGAUACCCAAACAUCAGUAGGUGUGUCCUGAUCUAAACGAUGUGACAAACCUGGUCUACCAGGAGCAUCUAGAUGCAGCAGGCAGGACUCACGUGAGAGGUGAGUGGCACAGUGUUCAGGGAGAGCUGUGGGACCUAAGUGAUAGGGAGGAAUGCUGAGUACACUGCACAGGCCUGGCUUCCUCUCAUGGGUAGGUUCACGUACAGUUUUAAGAGACGGUACCGGGUUUCCGGGUUUGCUGGGUUUCUCCCAAUGGUAACAUUUUGCAAAACUAUAAUAUUACCACCAAGGUACUGAUGUUGAUACAAUCUACCGGUCUUACUCAGAUCUUCCCAAUUUUAUUUGUACUUGUGUGUGUCCCUAAAGUUCCAUAUAGUUUUUGGAGAGAUUUUAAAGAAGAAAAGCAAAUGACCUUUGAGAGUGUUUAUGGUAUCAGGUCAUCAAUCCUAGAGGCCCCCACAUGUUAACUUAUAAUCAGUAACCUUUUGCUGACUUCUGCAAGUGUUCACCUGAGCCUCUUUUUUUUUUAAAUUUUUAAAAAAAUGUUUCAUUAUUUAUUUUUGAGAGAGAGAGAGAGAGAGGGGUAGAGGCAGAGAGAGGGGAGACACAGAAUCUAAAGUAGGCUCCAGGGUCUGAGCUGUCAGCACAGAGCCUGACGCGGGGCUCGAACUCACAAACCGUGAGAUCAUGACCUGUGCCGAAGUCGGACGCUCAACCAGCGGAGCCACCAGGGCCCCUAACCUGAGCCUCUUAUGGUGGUUCUGCAGUGGUAAUGGGUCAUGAGAAACAGUGAGUCUGUGUAAGUGUGUACAUAAUGUGUGGCUGUGUAGAGGUCACUCUCUUGUCUAUAGAAGUGGAGUGGCAUACUCUUGCCAGGGCUCACCGGUCUACUCAUUAAUGCCAACCCUUCAUAGCUGUGUAAGUGGGGAGCUAGAAACAUGAAAAUCUUAAUUAACCUAACCCCAACCUGCAUUUUUACUGAAUUCCAAUCCCACGCCUCAUCCUACAAGGGUGAUAGCAUUCAUCUGCCAGGAAAUGACCAACAGGUAAGUCCAGACUCACCAUUUACAGUUGUGCAAGUUGUGCACUGCAUAACUCUGAGCAGCACCAUUCACAUGUAUUCAUUAUAGGUUUUAUAGUUAUUAUGACAAAUAUCAAGUAAGUGGCAGAACAGCAUCUUGAGAAAGUGGAGCCUUUUUCUAAUUUGCACAAAGUCUCCAUAUCUGCUAGAAGUGGGGCUGUUAAUAAGUCCCAAGGAGGAGGAAGGAGAGAAGGUGAGCAGGAAUGGCAAGGGGAUCAUAUGAAAACAUGAAUCCUGGAGCAUCAGAGAGUGGACUGGGCAUUCCUCUUUGUGGUAGGAUUUACUGCAGACUUCAUCCUGCUUGAAGGAGCCUUGCUUUUGUAAAGCUGUGGCUGUUCCUGCCCAUAAAACCCCUCUGCAGGAGGAAGAUAGCAGCCAGGCCUGAGUCUUCCUUUAUAUCUGAGGCCACCAAUCAGGAGCAGGCCCAACAGAGCCAGAUGAAAGCCUUAAAUAUUCACAAACCAAGAUGGUAGAGGCAACUACCUCCUGGGUGCUUUGGAGGGGCCAGGGGAAGGGCAAAGCAGAGACAGACAGGGAAGGCCAAAGAGAAAAAUGGCUCAGACUGGCACAGGGGGGCUGCAGUUAGUGCAGGACACUGAGAGCAGAGAUGUCAGCACAAAAGGUUGGGCCCGCAAGGCCUGGGGUCCAUGGACCAUCCUAGUAUGUGGUAUCCCAGGAACUUGGACACCCUCCCUUCCUGUCCUGAGACACAGGCAGAGGAACGUCUUUUGCUUUGCUUUACUCUCCCUCAUUAUUUGUCCUCCUGUAAAAUGACUAAUUCAUUGGCAUUCUGUCCCCAGAAAAGUCAUCUUCCCCAGCACCUGGAAGAGGUGGGCUAGCAGAGAGGUGCCGUAAUAGUGGGAGGGCUCAAUGCCACUGUGCCCAGUUGGGCCACCCUGAACUUAAUUUGCAUUCUUUGCUCGGGAAACUGCUUACGAGGCUUCCCACCAGAGAGGAUUAUUGAGGGAAAACAUAGCAAUAAAAAGGCUUAGGAGAUUAACAAGAUGAAAACAUUAGCAAAAAAAAUCAGUUCAAAGAGGUUUUCUGUAACUAUAGAAGAAUAGGCUAAAAAACGAAGCCUUUCCAAUGAAAACCUCCCUUUAAUAAAGCGCAUUUGGCACUCUUGCUACUAAUGAUGAUAACGUUAGCACUUAGCAGUUUGAUAAGGGCUUCCAGCAUGCCAAUUAUCUGAGAUAUAUCAAGCCCUGGGGGAGAAGGUCAGUUCUCCUUGCUGACUCUCAAAGGCAGCAGGAGUUCUUCACCCGCCAGCUCCUGUUGGGUGGCGGGGAGCUUGGGCUGCCUGCAGUGGGCUGAGCUUGGCCUGAAUUCUCACGGUCUGGGAGGCUUCCCUUUUUGAAAAAUUGACUUGUAAUUUGCAUAUCACAAAUUUCACCCUUUUAAAGCGUACAAUUCAGAGGUUUUUCGUAUAUUCACAGAGCUGUGCAGCCAUCACCACUAUCUAAUUCCAGAACGUUUUCAUCAGGUACCCAUCAAGCAGUCACUCUCCGUUCCCAGUUCCCUCCAGCCCCUGACAACCACUAAUCUAUACUGUCUGUCUCUAUAGAUUUGCCUGUUCUGGACACUUCAUAAAUUCCUAAAUGGAAUUAGAUACUGUGUGGCCUUUUGUGUCUGACUUCUUUCAUAUAGCAUAAUGUUUUCAAGGUUCAUCCAAAUUGUAGCAUGUAUCAGUAGCUCAUUCCUUUUUAAGGCUGUAUGAUAUUCCACUGUCUGGCUAUACAACAUUUCACUCAUCCACUUCCAUCUGCUGAUGGACCCUGGGUUUGUUUCCCAUUACUGAUUAGGGGCUAUCAGUGAGCUGAACAAUCUCCUUGGUGAGCUGGAGAAGAGGAGCUCAUGGCACCUCCCCUAUAGAGGUGUCAAGGAUGGACCAAUGAUGCUGUGAAGCUUCUAAGAUAGGAGUGGCCAAGUGUUUGCAAAUGGGGUUCCUGGAACCCCAGGGAGGUCACAUCGGGAGCUGUGCCUUCCCACUGUCUGUUCAGUCAGCAGUGCUGGGAGGCCUUCAGCUAGCUCCCUUCUGGUACUGAGUGGAGGCUUUCUCUGGGCUAUAGAGAGCCUUGCACAGCUGAGAUCAGGUGGGUGCAGUCCUUGCUUUCCAAUCUGCUCCAUGUAGAGCAUUUAUUGGCUUCAUAUUUGGUGUCAUGAUAAGAUUGUGUUUACAGGGACUAAAAACCCAAAAACCCCUGGUUAGGAGAACGAAGCUUGGGGAACAGCAGCUGACAGCAGCCUUUCUCCCCACCACUGCCAGAGCACAGAUUUUGGCUCUAGGUGUGCUGACCGCCCAUCUCCAGGGUGGGUGAGCACAUCCUGACUGGAGAGGGCUAUUGGGAAGGGUCACAGGAGGCCUCUCUGACUCAGAGUCUCCCGGAGGUUGGCAGGAAGGGGUGGACAUCUCUCCUCUGCCUGCCAAACAUCCCUAGGGCUGGCUGGGAAACCAGGCUGGAGUAAGGCAAUUGGUUAGUACCAGGAGGGCACUGAAGGCCUCCUGGGGUUUUUGUGAUGACGUAGGGCUUCAGCCCAAACAAAUGGUGGGACAACGCAGCUGCUUCUGGAGCUCCUUAUGGGGCUGCAGCCCAUAGGCACACUGAACUAGAUCACCACUGUCACCCUGUGAAGGACAUCUCAGACUGCUUGGGGCUCCAGGCAUCAUGGAAGCCGUUUGGAACAGGGAGACAGAAAAACACGCAGGGAAUUUUGUUUCAAAAAUUCUAUUUUUAGAGCAAGCUGGGAUAUGCUUGGACCAGACUGGGCGAUCUAGUGCCGAGAAGGAAAGAAUCCAAUUCUGUGGUGGGGGGGAUGUUGCCACUAAAAGCCAUGUCUUGUGUUUCUGACUCCUCCAGCUCACAGUGUUUGGCUAGGACAGCUGCUGUGGUGGAACCUCAGUGUGCACUGGGUGGGUGGCUCCGAGCAAAGAUGGAUAGCUUUGGUCUCCAGGUCCCUGACCCGCCUCCCAGAAAAGGAGGAGCAGGGCAUUGUGGGUACUAGGUGUAGUAUGGCUUGAUGAGGCUCCAACAGUACUCUGAGGCCCUCCUCUCUCCCUGUCCCCUGCCUACUUCCCCUGUAUCUUUCCCAUUACUCCUGAGCUACUGCCAGAGUGUGGACAGCAAAUGAUUGGUAGUCCUCCCAGUCAGGCCAUAAAAUGCAGGAAGGACCCACUCACCUCCCAGGGCGUGCUCGGUCAUACUGAGGCACAAGGACUCCAGCCUAUUGUUGAUGUCAGGUUCAGUCACAGGAAGCUGGAAUUCUGCAAGGGACAAAGGGUUACGUUGGUGACAGAGACUCUGAGAACAAGGAGAAGGUAUGUACAGUGCUGUGGGGCUCCCCCCGCCCCCCCCACCCCCCACCCUGGGAGGACUCCUGGGAUUAUCAGGGUCAGUAGAGCGCUAUCACCAACAUCUGAUAUAUUAUGUAUUUGCUUGCCGCUUGCCCCCAGUUGGAUUUUCACUUCACUGGAGCAGGACUUGGCUCUGCUGCUACCUGCGCCUAGACCUGGCACCUGGAACUUGGCGCAUUUUUGCUUUGUUACAAGGAAAUGGAAACCACAGCAUGGCGAGUGCCUCUUCUGAAUCCAUGAUCGUGCCAGGUGCCCAGUUCUCAAGCGAGCCUCAGAGAGGCCAAGUGACUUGGGAGGUUAGCUCGCUAACACAAGAGCCCACAAAGGUCUGAUUCCAGAGCUGGUACUGUCCUGCAUGCUGCAGCAACUACAGGUGCCUGUCAGUACUCUCAGCCUCUAGCCACUUAGAAGGGCUGAGAUGUCUGCUGUGGGGGCUAUCACUGCCCAGGACAAUGCUGUGUGCAUUCUAAUCACAAAGCCUCCUUUAUCAUCUGGACCCUCCCUAUCUCCCCAGGCUCCAGUCCCUCAUCCUCCCCACCCCUUCUCCUCCUCCUCCCCCUCCUCCUCCUCCUCCUCCUCCUCCUCCUGUUCUGUUGGGGCCCUCACUGUCAGUACCUCCCCCAUCCCUCAUCCUGGGAAGCUCCUGAGCAUCUUUCACUGGCUUGCAGACUUUUUUAUUUCCCAUAAUAUACCCAGCCAUGGUCUUCUGGCAUACUUCAUACAUGUCUAUUGAGUGAUGAAAAAGAUGGAACAAGAAAUAAAAGGAAAGUCUGACAACUGA